ensembl:lncRNA
UUUUCAGCCCAGUCAGUCACUCAGCCAGUUUCUGCCUAGUCAGUCAGUCAGUCAGUUAGUUUCAGCCCAGUCAGUCAGUCAGUCAGUUUCAGCCCACCCAGUCAGUCAGUCAGUUUCAGCCCAGUCAGUCAGUCAGUUUCAGCCCAGUCAGUCAGUCAGUUUCAGCCAAGUCAGUCAGUCAGUCAGUCAGUUUCAGCCCAGUCAGUCAGUCAGUUUCAGCCCAGUCAGUCAGUCAGUCAGUUUCAGCCCAGUAAGUCAGUCAGCCAGUUUCUGCCUAGUCAGUCAGUCAGUCCGUUAGUUUCAGCCCAGUCAGUCAGUCAGUCAGUCAGUUUCAGCCCAGUCAGUCAGUCAGUCAGUUUCUGCCCACCAAGUCAGUCAGUCAGUCAGUUUCAGCCCAGUCAGUCAGUCAGUUUCAGCCCAGUCAGUCAGUCAGUCAGUUUCAGCCCAGUAAGUCAGUCAGCCAGUUUCUGCCUAGUCAGUCAGUCAGUCCGUUAGUUUCAGCCCAGUCAGUCAGUCAGUCAGUCAGUUUCAGCCCAGUCAGUCAGUCAGUCAGUUUCUGCCCAGUCAGUCAGUCAGUCCGUUUUCAGUCAGUCAGUCAGUCAGUCAGUUUCAGCCCAGUCAGUCAGUCAGUCAGUUUCAGCCCAGUCAGUCAGUCAGUUUCAGCCCAGUCAGUCAGUCAGUCAGUCAGUCAGUUUCAGCCCAGUCAGUCAGUCAGUUUCAGCCCAGUCAGUCAGUCAGUUUCAGCCCAGUCAGUCAGUCAGUCAGUUUCAGCCCAGUCAGUCAGUCAGCCAGUUUCUGCCUAGUCAGUCAGUCAGUC